rnacentral:ncRNA from 1 species
AUAGGUGCCCAAGAUAUGGGAGAAUAGGGAAUUUAGGUGAAAAUCCUGAGCGGUCCCGCCACUGUAAUUGGAGAGCAUCCUCAAAAAUCCACCUCUGUUUUUAAACAGCUGGGAAGGAAGAGGAAUUGUAAACAGCCAAAAGCCAGGAGACCUGCCUAUUUGC